GUUUUAAGGGCAUAUGACAAUAUUGGAUCAAUACAGAGAAGAUUAGAAUGGCCCCUGUGGAAAGAUGACACGCAAAUCCGUAAAGUGUUUCUCUAAGAAGUUUCU